rnacentral:misc_RNA from 1 species
UAUUGAUAAUUAAAACCUUUCCACCUAUGUUGAGGGGAAAAAAGAGAGGAAAAAUGGAUGAGCAAUGUGAAGAGAACAUUAAAACUACAGUUGCAGUAGUCACUACAUGUUAAAUGAUGAGGGAAGUGAAUUACAAUCUACUUAAGUCUGUAUUAUUCCAUGUAUGGACAUUACCCCUAAAUUCUAUAACAAGACUUUUGUAAUAUACAACCUUGAUUCAUUUCAAUGGCACCUGAAUGAUUUGAUAUAGUUCUAAAAUGAUCCAACUUUAAACAGCAAGAGCAUUGAAGUUACAAAACCUUAAACUUUCAUUUUGAUGCAUCCAUCCAUGAAUUUAAAAUAGGACAAGCACAUCACCCAGAUCUCAUUUUUCAUGAUAUAAGAUAAGUGCUUGUGCUCACAGUUCACAAAGUAACCAUGCAAUUCCAUUAAUAUGAUAGACAUUAUUCCUGAUGCAGGUGCAUUUCCAUGCACACAAAUGUUCCAUUUCUAUAUUAAAUUUAAGAGAAACUGUUCAACAGCUUACCUGUCAAAAAUCCAAUCCAAGAAAUAAUUUAAAACAGAAAAAUUAUCCUUCUAAGUAGUUCAGCCCUUUGUUCUUAAUUAGCCAAAAAUUUUGAAUUAAUAUUUCAACAAAAGGAAGGGUAAGAUGCUAUAUCAACUCAUUCCCAUGUGAUAAAUAGCAAUUAAUAUGUAAUAGAAAAGAAAAAAGAUUUACAAUUUUGGAUGAACAUGCUCUG